ensembl:lncRNA
UAGCUCGUUAAUAUUUGCUAUCUGUACAGUGACAAGUCCUACCACGUAAUCCUGUUGUCUUUAGAUCAUUUAGGAACACACUGUAUAUGUUAUUUUAACCCCGGAGCAGUUUGUAAAAUGCUCUUCGAUGUUAUAUUUCAUAAUCCUAUCAUUUUCCAGUCAUAAGAAGUGAUCUGUUUAACGUGCGUACAUGUGACAGAAAUGAAGCAAGUGCCGUGUCAUGUCAUGCGCUUGAUGCUCAGAGGAAGAGGAAUCUGUGUCACCGCUUCUCUGUGGCCUUUUGGUUCCAUUUCCUGUGCUCUAAACGAGUCGCGUUCGCAGGUUCCUCUCAAGUUGAUUACACACUCCUGCUUGCUGCCUUCUGCAUCAUUCAAUUUCAGUCCGUCUGACCUUUCAUGCGGCUUCCAUCUGGAUUCUCCGAAAUGAACAUUUCAUACCGUCACGGGUUUUAUUAGCUGAACUACCGGGACUUUAACCGGAACAAGGUUCUAUGGUCAGAACCCAAACCUUCGCUGUUGUUGGAGGAUGCGUGAUGUUCCAGGACCGUUUUAUCGCCAAAGGUUCUCGGAAAUCAUCUUCAUGGACUCCAUAUCGCACCGGGAAAUAUUCAACGACGGGAGAAAUCUCCGUGCUGUAUAAAACAUUUAAAAAUCUACCAACGUGGCAGCGGCAGCACAAUGGUCAAGCUGUUGGAAUACUGAUCGGAAGAUCGUGAGUUCAAAUCCCAGCAAAAAAGGAUAAAACCUUUCUAAAACGCACCUAACUCCGCGUGCGCAACAAAUCUACGAUAUCCUAUAGACGUGAAUAAUUCAUGGUGGGGAAGGAGAUUGGUUUGUUUUUGAGAAGAAAGGGUAAAACCCCGCCUCACUGUCUCAUAUAUUUUUGCAUGAAAUGAUACUUUCUGCAGACUGGCUUACUGUAUUGUUUAAAUAAAGUUCCAUUUCUUUUGACAUCCAUA